UACGGGAGGGCGAGCAGUGGGGAAGUAAUUGCACAAUGGGCGCAAGCCUGAUGCAGCCAUGCCGCGUGUAUGAAGAAGGCCUUCGGGUUGUAAAGUACUUUCAGUCGUGAGGAAGGUGUUAAGGUUAAUAACCUUAGCAAUUGACGUUAGCGACAGAAGAAGCACCGGCUAACUCCGUGCCAGCAGCCGCGGUAAUACGGAGGGUGCGAGCGUUAAUCGGAAUUACUGGGCGUAAAGGGCACGCAGGCGGUUAAUUAAGUUGGAUGUGAAAUCCCCGGGCUUAACCUGGGAAUGGCAUUCAAGACUGGUUAGCUAGAGUCUUGUAGAGGGGGUAGAAUUCCAUGUGUAGCGGUGAAAUGCGUAGAGAUGUGGAGGAAUACCGGUGGCGAAGGCGGCCCCCUGGACAAAGACUGACGCUCAUGUGCGAAAGCGUGGGGGAGCAAACAGGGAUUAGAUACC
rnacentral:rRNA from 1 species